CCUACGGGAGGCUGCAGUGAGGAAUAUUGGUCAAUGGGCGGAAGCCUGAACCAGCCAAGUCGCGUGAGGGAAUAAGGCCCUACGGGUCGUAAACCUCUUUUGCCGGGGGGCAAGGGCGGGGACGUGUCCCGGCCCGGAGAGUACCCGGCGGAAAAGCAUCCGCUAACUCCGUGCCAGCAGCCGCGGUAAUACGGAGGAUGCGAGCGUUAUCCGGAUUUAUUGGGUUAAAGGGGUGCGUAGGCGGGCUUUCAAGUCAGCGGGAAAAACUCGGGGCCAAACCCGGUCCGGCCGUUGAUACUGGGGGCCUUGAGUGGGCGAGAGGGAGGCGGAAGGCGAGGUGUAGCGGUGAAAUGCAUAGAGAUCGCGCAGAACUCCGAUUGCGAAGGCAGCAUGCCGGCUCCACACUGACGCUGAGGCGCGAAAGCGUGGGUAUCGAACAGGAUUAGAUACCCCAGUAGUC
rnacentral:rRNA from 1 species